rnacentral:rRNA from 1 species
UACGGAGGGAGCUAGCGUUGUUCGGAAUUACUGGGCGUAAAGCGCACGUAGGCGGCUAUUCAAGUCGGGGGUGAAAGUCCGGGGCUCAACCCCGGAACUGCCCUCGAAACUAGGUAGCUAGAAUCUUGGAGAGGCGAGUGGAAUUCCGAGUGUAGAGGUGAAAUUCGUAGAUAUUCGGAAGAACACCAGUGGCGAAGGCGACUCGCUGGACAAGUAUUGACGCUGAGGUGCGAAAGCGUGGGGGGCAAACAGG